UCGUCUAGUCUAGUCUACGUCUGCAGACAAACACUUCGAGCUGACCUUGCUUUGCUUUGUGAGGGAUAUGAUAGAUUAGAAGUCACAAAAGUGUCCUGUAUUGAGAAACCGUUGCCAAUUCAGGAACUCAACUUCUCUUUAAGUGCUUCUACCAUGAGACUUCUACUAUCCCUGUCUUCCUUAGUGCUCUCCCUGACCUUGAGCCUCUGUGAAGAUCACCUUGACAGUGACUUUCAGAGCAAUGAAGGCUUGGUUGUCACGGAUGAGAGAGAGGAUGGUGUCUUUUCAGCUGGAGGAGCAGGACUUGAGGUGUCACAAGCCGCACCUAAACUAGAAUGGGAUCCUAAUGGAUACUUCACAUUCUGCCCCUGCAUGGGGAGGUUUGGAAACCAGGCAGAGCACUACCUUGGAUCACUAGCCUUUGGUAAAGCACUCAAUAGAACCAUCAUCUUACCUCCGUUCAGGACUUAUAUCAACAUCCCUUUCACUGACUGGUUUCAGUUUGAACCCAUGCUAGAGUUCUAUCCUCGUCUCAUCACCAUGGAAACCUUCAUGGAGGAACUAGCUCCCAAGUACUGGCCAGAGAAUGAGAGGAGAGGUUACUGCUGGCUUUACCUCAACAGUGAUGCUCAAUGUGAAAUGAAGAGAGGGAAUCCAUUUGGCCCAUUUUGGGACGGCUUUGGCAUUAAUUUUGCGGAAGAGAUCAAAUUUGAGAUUUUCAGCCAUGCUGACCUUUCCAAUACACAAGACAUGGAAAAAAUUAAGGAACAUUGGGACAGAAGUUUUCCAGUAAAAGAUCAUCCUGUCUUAGCAUUGAAAGGGGCACCAGCCCCAUUCCCAAUGAGAGCGAGUAACCGGGUCAUCCAGAACUACUUCAAAUGGAACGAGGGGUUGUUUGCUGAGGCCAAGCACCACAUGGAUCAUCUCUUUAACGGAGAGCCUUACGUUGGCAUUCAUCUUAGGACUGGCAUUGAUUGGGAAAGAUCAUGUGAGACGGUAGAAGGGAUGAGACAGAUGAUGGCAUCACCCCAAUGUCAUAAGGUGGGUCAGGAGCCGGUUACCAAGGCCAUGUGUUACCCUACCAAGGAGAUGGUUCUAGAGGAAACCAGAGCUGCGGUGGAGAAGUACAAGACCAAACAUGUCUUCAUCGCUACCGAUAAAUUCUCCUACCAGAAGGAACUGAAAGAGAUGUUUGGAGAUGAGGUCAAAGUUCACCAUCUCGACCCCCACAUGCCACAGAUUGACCUCAUCAUCCUUGGCCAAUCAGAGUUCUUCAUUGGUAACUGUGUCUCAUCCUUCACAUCCUUUGUGAAGCGGGAGAGAGACGGAAACGGGAAACCAUCAACGUUCUGGAGUAUAGGAGUUUGAUGAAGCGCAUAGCAUCUUCUUGCACAAUGUCUUUCAAUUUAUACUUUGUAGUCGGGUGAUUACGUUCAACGUGCCCGCACAACAUGUGACUUUUAUCUGUUUAUGACCAUUAACAAGUGGCUCUUUCCGUAACACUACCAUUACUCAAUGGUCAUAUCAAAAGACUUUUCUUUUUUGGAUACCGGCGCUAUAUAAAUAUCCAUAUUAUUAUUAUUAAUGAAAUCACAUUGUUUGUUAAUAUACAAAGUGCAUUUAUUAAUGUACUCAAAGUAAUACUACCCAGGCAGAUCAUUCAAUUCAUUAUUCACUCAAUUAUAAAAACAGAUACAUAAAAUUGCGUAUGAAGAUGGACAUAGUAAAAUCAGGAGUUGAAACCACAAGUAACAGAAACUGAGGGGGGAUCAGAUUAAAGAUCUAUUUAAGGAUCUUGUGAAUUUAUAGUUUUUAAUUAUUUUAGUUUACCCAAAAUGCUUUCUCUGACUUACUUUCUUCACUGCUAUGAUGUCUUUCAUUUUCAAACUUCAAGCAAUGGCUUUCAAAGCAAGCCUUAAAUGUAGGUUGAAUAUAUUUAUCUAAUGCAUAUUUUUGCAAAUCUCUUUUGUGCCUUUGUGCAAAUAUCUUCUCAAGUAUUACAUUUUAAGGGUAUGCCUGUAUUUUACAAUCAAAUUCAUCCAUUUUAGUUCGAAAGAACGCUUUCCUCCAAGUGUCUUAUUUCUUUGUGUCUAAAUCUUUUAGGUUAUCCAACAUAUCUUGCGACUUUUGCUACAGGUUUUAUUUCCUCAUAUAUAUUGGUGUAGAUCUUGGGUCACACAUGGGUGUAAGUUUACAAUUUGGGUGGCUACAACAGUUAAAUAUUAUUCUUGGUAUGGCGUUAAAAUUACAUGUUGGAGUUUGUAGUGUCGGCUUUUAACAGUUUGGGUUAUAGAUGGGUUUACUUUAAGGGUUACAGCAGUCGGUAUUAUGUAGGGUGCUAGUGUCUCCAGAGUAUGUCUCGUACAAUUAUCUUUCAUUGCCUACUCUUGAGAAAUUCCUUUCAGCAUAACAUUCUCAGGGAUGUGAUUCCUCCACCGAUUCCAAGACGGAAAAAAAAAAAAAAAAAAAAAAA